AUGCCACUGGACUUCACCAAGCACUUCCCCGCCGCCCCUUAGGAAUUCAAGCUCAAGACCAACAUCGGUUGCACCUGGAGGGUGACGGUCCUGGUGAUCAACGGGACAGUCACCCUUGACCAAGGUUGGUCCCCCUUCGCCACUGUUCACCAAAUCAAGAUUGGGUACCUUGUCACUUUCAAGUUGCUGACUCCCAGCACCUUCAAGUUGAUCGUCUUCAACAAAGACGACGCCAAGGUGGUGACGAUGUGCAAGAAGCACGAUGUGGCCUUUGCCAUGGAUGUCUAG
rnacentral:rRNA from 1 species